rnacentral:misc_RNA from 1 species
AAGUCGUAACAAGGUCUACCGUAAGGUGGAACCGUGCGGAGGGAUCCAAUUGACCAAAGAUGGGGCGGGCCUCCGGGCCCCCGUCCCCAACCCUUUGUUGACCAAAACCUUUUUGCCUCGGGGGCAGAGCGUCCGCCGCCGCCCCCGGAGGACCACCGAACGCUGUCUCUUUACGUCGGAGUAUUGAUUGAAUAAAUGAAAA